ACCCAGACUUCCUUUCUCGAGGCUGCCCUGGUCGUGUGGAGACAUGGAUCUACACGCGAAAGAUAGUCGUUAUGACCUUAUUGCUCAAUUUGAUGGGGGAGUAGUUAUUCACCAACACCGCUGAUCUUUUGAGACAUGAGGUACUACAGAAGACCUUGGGCCAACUUGGCUUCCUCACCGCCCUGGCCUUCAGCGGUAAUAUAGCAACACAAUGUUUGAGAUGCUACCAAGAAUGGCCUCCUGAUCCCAGACUGGGCAGAAAAUGAGCAGGGCUUCAACAGGUCACGGUGAUGGCAGAAACAUGGCUCAAGAACUUGUGACAGUGGUUUAAGCUGCAACAAAGAAUGGCCUGAUCCCAGACCUGAGCAGGGCUUCAACAACAGCCGAAUUAAUCUUCAAGGAAUGACUUGAGGAUCAGCAGCAUUUCACUAUAAGAAAUGGCAACAUUGUGCAGCUGUGAGGACACCUGUCAACCCUAAGCUGCUGUCACUCACCCUGGAAUAAAAAUAACUUGCUUCUGAGAAUCGUGCAACAUACACUGCCAAAAAAAACCACUUAAUUGUCACAGUAUAACACCAAGUCUGUUAAACUUCAGGGAUAUCAGUCCAUUUAGCAAGCACAAGUAAUUGUGACUCAAUUUCACCUGCUUUGGUCCAAGUGAAAAUGACAACAGGUGUAAUGGAGAGGCAAAAGCAAGACAACUCCCAAAAAGGCAAUAUGUUUUCAUGUGGCCCUCGUGUUCCCCUAACUUAAAUCCUAUUGCGAACCAAUGGGGCGUUAUGUAUCGUGCAUCUGAUGCUGCCAAGUACUGCCCCAGAGUGUCGAGGAGCUCAUUGAUGCCCUAAUCCAGGUCUGGGAGGUGAUCCCCCAGGACACAAUCUGCCAACUCAUCAGGAGCAGGCCCAGAUGUCAGGACUGUAUGCAGGCAGGCGGAGGCCAUACACACUGAGUCCCAUUAUGAGUAGUAGCAACUUGUGGUUUAAAUGUUUUACUUUUGCUGUGGUUUUGAAACCGUCCCUCAAUGUGUUGAUGAUUUUGGUUUCCACUGAUUUCAUCCUCAAACAAAUCAUACAAUGUACACCAGUAAAGAUUUUCAACUUGAAUAAUUGGUUUUGAUGUGUGAUUUAAGUGUUCCCUUAGUUUUUAUUGUAGCAGUUUAUUUAGCCUGAUUGUAUGUGUACUCAAUAAAAUAUCAUAACCCAA